GUGCUCACUUUGGUAGCACAUAUACUAAAACUGAAAUGAUCCAGAGGAGAUUAGCAUGGCCCCUGAGCAAGGAUGACACACAAGUUCAUAAAGUAUCCCAUAUUUUU